GAUGUUUUGUCAUCCACCUGCUUCAAAGCUGUAAAACCCGGGAGGCAGCAGCAAACGGAGAGACCUACCCAGCCCGGGAAAAAAAAACAAACAAAGAGAGACCUUACUGGUGCUGUUUACACAUCUGUGUGGAGGACUAUCUGGGCUUGUGUGUUUUGACAUCGCGCUCAAAUGGCUGCACGGCUCCUGUCUCAGUGAAACGGAAGAUGUAGAGGAGCUGGAGAGUGAGUGAAGGAGUGAAGCUGAGCCCUGGACGGAGGGAUCUGCUGGAGGAAAGGAGAGAGAGAGUGUCGGCUGAACUGGGCCACAGCAUCCGAGCUGGGAGACCUGAGAGAAGAGAUGGGAGAGGGUGGCUCCGCUGACUGGAGGAGUACCAGCUGGUCUCAAACAGGUAGGGAGC